rnacentral:tRNA from 1 species
GGGCCUGUAGCUCAGGUGGUUAGAGCAGGGGACUCAUAAUCCCUUGGUCCCUGGUUCGAAUCCAGGCGGGCCCACCA